rnacentral:rRNA from 1 species
AUUGAACGCUGGCGGCAGGCCUAACACAUGCAAGUCGAACGAGUGGCGGACGGGUGAGUAAUGUCUGGGAAACUGCCUGAUGGCUGGGGAUAACUACUGGAAACGGUAGCUAAUACCGCAUACCAUCAGAUGUGCCCCUAUGGGAUUGGCUUGUUUGUGGGGUAACGGCUCAACAAGGCGACGAUCCCUAGCUGGUCUGAGAGGAUGACCAGCCAAACUGGAACUGAGAGACGGUCCAGACUCCUACGGGAGGCAGCAGUGGGGAAUAUUGCACAAGGGGCGCAAGCCUGAUGCAGCCAUGCAGCGGGUAUGAAGAAGGCCUUCGGGUUGUAAAGAACUUUAAGCGGGGAGGCGUUACCCGCAGAAGAAGCACCGGCUAACUCCGUGCCAGCCGCCGCGGUAAUUC